rnacentral:rRNA from 1 species
AAGGGCACCACAAGAACGCGUGGAGCAUGUGGCUUAAUUUGACUCAACCCGGGAAAUCUUACCAGGUCCAGACAUAUUGAGGAUUGACAGGCGAUAGUAUAUAAUAUUUUAAUAUUAUAUGCAUAAAAAUGAUAGUCCUUUCAUGAUUAUAUGAUAGGUGGUGCAUGGCCGUUCUUAGUUCGUGGAGUGAUUUGUCUGCUUAAUUGCGUUUCAGUAAAUAAAAUAUAUAAUAUAUUAUAAUAUUUAGUUCUGCCAUGCAUAAUAUGUAUGGAUUUAAAGUGAACAUAUUAUAUAUAUUAUUAUAUAAUAAAUGAAUGCAACGAACGUGACCGUAACCUUUUAUUGCUACUAUACAUUGUAGCAUAAAAUUAAAGGAACCGCUGUCAUUACUAAUAUGUGUUAAAAUAGAGUAAGAUUAUGGCAAUAACAGGUCUGUGAUGCCCUCAGAUGUUCUGGGCUGCACACGUGCUACAAUAAUUACAUUAAUAAGUAUAUAUAAUAUAAUAUAUAUUGAAUAUUAAUAUAUAUUAUAAAAACCUAUUUCGAAAGUAAAUCGGUAAUCAUUUAAAAAUCGUGAUUAAUAUAAAAUAUAUUUAAUUUAAGGUGGGGAUAGUGUAUUGUUAAUUAUUACACUUGGCCUUAACUAGGAAUGCCUUGUACUCUUCUUUGGUUUAACAUACCAAGAGGAGUACGUCCCUGCCCUUUGUACACACCGCCCGUCGCUCUUACCGAUGAAUUAUAUUAUAAAUCUAAGGGAUUAUAAUAUAUAUAAUAUACAAACUUAUAUACAUAAUGUGAUUUAAAGGAAAGAGAAGUCGUAACAAGGCAUCAGUAGGUGAACCU